UGUGGAUGGGGUUGUCAUUUACCAAACUGGGGAAGUCUUUGUGAAGAACAGGUUUGAUGGGACUCAGCCAGACUUGGACAGAGGACAGGAAGACCUAUCUGCAGAUAAGAGCCACCCACUACUGGUCUCAUCUCCCCUGAGGGCUGCAGAGACAUUGAUGUUGGGAUGACCUGCCUGUGGAGAGGAAUCUGCGGAGCUGAGAGGUGAGCAAAUGUCUGGCCGACCUGCCUGCAGAAAGAAGCUACCCACUUCGGGUCUCCUGAGAGCUGUACUGUUGCUCAAUAAAGCACCUCUUCACCUCACCCUCCAGUUGUCCACAUACCUCAUUCUUCCUGGACAUGGGACAAGAACUCCGGACCCACCAGAUGGCAGGACUGAAAGAGCUGUAACACAAACAGGGCUGAAACACGCCCCUUGCUCACCGUGUUGCAGGCCAUGAGAAGGAGAGAAGAGGAAAGGAGAGAAGAGCAGCGGUCCUUCAGGGAGCCCAGACCUAGGAGCUCCCCAAGCCAGGACUGUGACACUCUCUUUGGGGCUCUGUGAUUCCUGGCAUCUCCAAGAUUCCAGGGGUUACUAUGUUCCCUGGUGGAAGCAGUGGAAGCUGCUUGCAGUAUGCCUGGUAUAGCUGCAGCCUUGCAGGAGUUGGUGCUGGGAGCUGGCCACCCCUCCACAGCCAGCAUUACUGACUGUAUGCAGUGGCUGAACCCUGUGCUCGCUAAUUCAUGCACCCCUUGCCACUCCAUGCCUGGCUCACCCUUGGCAGGCAUGGGAUCUGGGCCAGUAAUGUGAGCUGAGCACAGCCUGUCAGGCCAAGCAGGUGGACUUAGCACAGCAGGCCCCAGCAAAACUCAGGCAAAGGCACCACCAGCCACAGAGGUUUCUGGCUGGUGAAG
rnacentral:lncRNA from 1 species